AUCAAUGGUGGGCUGUAUGGGGCUGACUUCGGUCAGGCUGGUCUCCUUUUGCGCCAGUUGUGGUAACCCUGUACAGUCCACCGCCAGC
rnacentral:antisense_RNA from 20 species